UACGUAGGGGCCUAGCGUUGUCCGGAAUUAUUGGGCGUAAAGAGCUCGUAGGCGGUUCGGCAAGUCGGAUGUGAAAUCUCCACGCUCAACGUGGAGGGGCCAUUCGAAACUGCCGUGACUCGAGUCCGGUAGGGGAGUGUGGAAUUCCCGGUGUAGCGGUGAAAUGCGCAGAUAUCAGGAAGAACACCCGUGGCUAAGGCGGCUCUCUAGUACGGUACUGACGCUGAGGAGCGAAAGCGUGGGGAGCGAACAGG
rnacentral:rRNA from 1 species